GGGGGUGUUUUGGUUUUGACAGCGCCGAUGUCGGACGGUAAGCAUGCCGGGCGUUGGGACCUUGCCCGCUAAUCUCAGAUCCCGAACAAUAGUUGCUAACAACAACAAUUACGCACUCGCUGCCUAAUUCGGCUCAGCCAAUUAGCUUAAUCCGCGGCGCCUAGGCUGCGUCGCCGACGAGUAUCCCUCGGAAUUUCCGCCUGUUAUCUUCCGGCCCAGGGGUAUCAUCCAGAACAGGACGCUCCGGCGGACGCCUUUAAAACCGGCUAAGACACAAAGGCUAAGGGACCGGUGGCCCGUCUUCCGGCAGCCUCUCCCCGACAACCAAAGGAUGAAUAAGCAUGUAGAAAGCCGCCUGGUGCGACGUUUGGACAGCGGUUCGAGUCCGCUCACCUCCACAA
rnacentral:tmRNA from 1 species